GUGCUCACUUCAACAGUACAUACAUUAAAACUGGAACAAUACAGAGAAGAGUAGCAUGGCCCCUGAGCAAGGAAGACACACCAAAGGAAAGAAUCAUCUUUAU